rnacentral:rRNA from 1 species
GACGAACCGUCCUAACGUUGUUCGGAAUCACUGGGCUUAAAGGGCGCGUAGGCGGCCUUGAAAGUCGGGGGUGAAAUCCCACGGCCUAACCGUGGAAGUGCCUCCGAUACUGCAAGGCUCGAGGGAGGUAGGGGCAGCUGGAACUUCCGGUGGAGCGGUGAAAUGCGUUGAUAUCGGAAGGAACGCCGGUGGCGAAAGCGAGCUGCUGGACCUCUGCUGACGCUGAGGCGCGAAAGCGUGGGGAGCAAACAGG